rnacentral:rRNA from 1 species
UACGAAGGGGGCUAGCGUUGCUCGGAAUCACUGGGCGUAAAGGGUGCGUAGGCGGGUUUUUAAGUCAGGGGUGAAAUCCUGGAGCUCAACUCCAGAACUGCCUUUGAUACUGAAGAUCUUGAGUCCGGGAGAGGUGAGUGGAACUGCGGGUGUAGAGGUGAAAUUCGUAGAUAUUCGCAAGAACACCAGUGGCGAAGGCGGCUCACUGGCCCGGUACUGACGCUGAGGUGCGAAAGCGUGGGGAGCAAACAGG